GUCCUGGUGUGCCCCCCAAAAGAUCCUCCCAGUAGUGCAGCACCUGCUCCCAGGGAUGGAGUUUUGGGACCGAGGGCUGCUCCGUGUUUCGGGACACCCGGAGGGGACCGUGGCUCUUCCCCCUCGCCACUCACGGGAGAUAAAAGAGGGAAAACCUUGGGAAAACGCCAGCUCUGAGCUGCCCCGCGCUCCAGGAGCUCGCUGGGGAGGUCAAAGCCGUACUCUCUGCUACUGAAAAGCACAACAAAAUCCCUCCCUGCCUCCCAUCCCCGCGGCUGGAAAACCUGGAUUUCCCAGGGAUUCUGGGGAUGGUGAGGAGGGGACUCCCCCACCCUGACCUCAUCAGCUCCUGGCAAUUAACAGCCGCUAAUGAACGAGCGGGGUGAGGCAGCAGAGGCCGGAGCGUUCCCAGGGACAGCCUGGACACCUCUGGUGCCACCCAAGGAGCUUCUCCAGGUGCAGAGAGGCUUUUCCUGAGGAACCGGGGAACGCGUCACCUUGUCCCGAGCGCCUCUUUUGGUGGCUCCAGAGACGGAAACUCCCCCGAAAAGGCCCGAGGGGGGGGAGGAAGAGAGCGGGAGGAGGGUUGGAAGCCAAACUUUUCUUUGGGCCUUUGUCUGAGCCCACAAAGGCGGCUCUGUUGGAUGAACCUGGCCGAGCACCCACCUGCAGCCAGGUGAGCUGUGGGGGCAGCCGGGCUGCAGCUCCUGCUCAGCCUCCCCGGGCGAGUCCCCUGCUGGCCCUAAAAGUCAGAUUUUUCAGAGCAGCUGCGGGGCAGGGUGAGGCUGCACCCCGAGGUCGGAGUCACUCCCGAGCCUCUCCUGCUCCGGGUGAUGCCCCAGUUCACCUUCGCCUGUUUCUGUGGCCUCCACGGCUUCUGCAAGAUGAAGAGGAAGAAGGAACAGGCCAGCGGGGGGCAGGAGACGGCCGUGUGAGGAUCAGCCCCCGCCCGGGACCCCUCCUGUCCCCUCGAUUCUCCAUUUAUCCUGCAAAUUCUCUCCCGCAUCCCGCGGAUUCUCUCCUCAUUUCCCGUCCCUCCCUGUCCCCAGGACGGCCGGGGAAGAGCCGAAGUGUCCCUGCCCACGAUGUCCCUGCCCGUCCCGCUGGGAGCGAGAAUUCCCUCCCUGCUCCAGCAAUUCCCAGCAGAGAAACCGGGAAAAUCUCCAAAAUCCUGGCCAAGCCUUGUCGUUGCCAGAAUCCAGAGCUGGGCAGCGCCUCUGGCACGGCAAGAAGCACCCGGACCUGAGCGCUGCUGGAGCAGAUAAAUCCCGCUGAUGGCAGUGGGAAUCAGGUGUCUAUCCAAGGAAAAUUCCAAGGAUUUUCCGUCCUCUGGAGCGGGAGGCGAGCGGUGAAGCCGAAGCUGGAGCCGUGUCCUGGCUGCUCCCGGAUUUCCUUUGGGAAGGGAUGCAGGAACGCAGCUCGUCCUCCCCAUCCCGGAUCCAGCUGGAAUUCCUGCAAAUCCCCCCCAAAAAAAAAUGCUGCGGAUUCCCAGGGUUCACGGGAAGAGCCUCCACCUCCUCAGGAAAGCAGAGCCGCGCUCCCCAAAGAGGAAUUUAUUCCCACCAGCAAUAAUCCCAUCCACCAAGGGAAGGAUCCACUGCCCUGCUCACAUUCCCACCGGGAAUUUGGGGUGGGAACUCUCCAGGCAGGGCAAUUCCUGCAUACAAGACUUAAAAAAUUAAAGCAAAAAAAACCAUUUUAAAUAUUUUUCCCCCCUCAGAAAUCACCUGGUGGAAGCUGUCCCUUCUCCCUGCCGAGGGGAGGAUUCUCUUCCAGGUAUUCCCAGUCUUCCCACAAGACAAAAUUAAUUCGUGGCUGUCCCAAAACUCGGCGUUUUCCAAAGGUUUUCCAGAGGAUGAAACAAUUCCAGAUCAGUUGAUUUGGGAAAAUGCUGAAUUUCCAUUUCAUUUCCCAUUUUUGCACCUCAGCCUCCUCGGUUCCACCUUUGGCGAGGAACUUUGGGAUCAGCUCUGGACCAAAAAAUCCAAGGAAAUUGGUGGAACUCCAAGGGAAUUUCCUGAAUUUCCCCAAUUCCACCUUUGGCAAGGAACAUUGGGAUCAGCUUUGAGCCAAAAAUAAAAAAUCCAAGGAAGUCGGGAAUUUCCUGGGA
rnacentral:lncRNA from 1 species